rnacentral:pre_miRNA from 1 species
UGUGUACUCUCUCCGUCUGGAAAUACUUGUUAUAAAAAUGUAUGUAUCUAAAUUAUAUUUUAAUUUUAGAUGCAUAUUUUUUAUUCAUUUGUGUGACAAAUAAUUUCAGACGGGGGAAGUAUUUU